rnacentral:rRNA from 1 species
UGAUACAUAGCCGACCUGAGAGGGUGAUCGGCCACAUUGGGACUGAGACACGGCCCAAACUCCUACGGGAGGCAGCAGUAGGGAAUCUUCGGCAAUGGACGAAAGUCUGACCGAGCAACGCCGCGUGAGUGAAGAAGGUUUUCGGAUCGUAAAACUCUGUUGGUAGAGAAGAACGUUGGUGAGAGUGGAAAGCUCAUCAAGUGACGGUAACUACCCAGAAAGGGACGGCUAACUACGUGCCAGCAGCCGCGGUAAUACGUAGGUCCCGAGCGUUG